AUAAAACAAAAACAUAGACAGACACUCACUAGUCACUACUAUUGUCGACAGAAAGCAAAAACCCCCAACCUUUCAAAGUUUCAAAUCCCUAAUUGCAAAAUUAAAAUCUCUCAAAACUUUCAAAAUCUCCCAAAACGGUAAAACCUUCAAAACCUUGAGCUAGGGCUGGCUGCUGGUGAGUGGUGACUGGUGUUGUCGGCGAAGCAGUCAAGCCGCUCUGUUACCUGUACUCAACUCCAGGUAAGAAAACUCUUUGUUUUCUUGAUUUUUGAGAUAUUUUAUGAUCUUAUUUAAUAUUUUUAUAAUGAUAUUUAAUCAUAUUUGUAUUUAAAAUUUAAAAUCAAGUAUCAAUAUUCAAUAUACAGUUUAUUAAGUAUAAACCUAAAAAAUAAAUUUUUAUUAUUGUAUGAAAUGAUGAGUAUGCUGUAUGCCAAACCGAAGAGCUCGGGGCUAUUGACAAAAACCUCAAAGAUUCCAUUAAUUUUUAUUAUUAAGUAUCAAGUGUCAUGGCUGAAACGAAAGUCUAUUGACAAAAACCUCUUUCAGCCCUUGGGGCUACAUUUUUCGGUUUGUCAUUAUUUAUAGCACUCAUAUUUUCUGUUUAUAAACUCAAAAAUCCGAAUGUAUUUCAUUUAAUAAGAAAUUCGAUAUCCCUUAAUCAAAAUUUCGAAUUCAAGUAUCAUAUAUAUAUAAAUCAAUAAAUUUUGUUCCCAAUUUAAGAAACUUGAGUAUUACCACAAAUCUUAUUAUAUAUAACACAUAAUCAAAACAGUUUCAUUAUUUAAUACUUAUAGUCAAAGUUCAUGGAAAAAACUAUGGGUACUGUACUACUGUUUCCUUAUUUACAAUCUUCUAAUUAAAUUUAUUUAGUUUAAUAUUCAUUGAUUUAUUGUUGUAAUUUUUACUUAUUUUUAUUUGUUGUUCUAAUUAAAUUUAUUUAGUUUAAGAUUCAUUGAUUUAUUGUUGGAAUUUUUGCUUAUUUUUAUUUGUUGUUCUAAUUAAAUUUAUUUAGUUUAAGAUUCAUUGAUUUAUUGUUUUAAUUUUUGCUUAUUUUUAUUUGUUGUCGAAGGGUAAAUUAUCCUAUUAACUGUAAUUUAUUUAUUUUAAGAUUAAUUGAUUCAUUGAGAUUUAUAUGUAUGUGUUGUAAAAAAAAAUAUUAUGUGGCUGUUAAUAUAUGUGCCUGCAUUAUCCUAUUAACUAUUUUUUUAACAAAUUGGUUUCUUGUUUGAAAGAAGUUAUUAGACAUGGAUAAAAGCAAAAUUUAUUUCUCUAAAACUCAACAUCAAAUGUUUAAUAUUAUAAAUGUAUUUUAAUUUAUUAUAUAAUUUUUUUCUUGCAAAAUGUCUACCAAACCAACAUCUAUUGAGGGUAGUAUUACACCUCCUACUUCGAUAGAUUCUGAAAAUUCGGGAAUUGGAGCUUCAAGCCAAGCAAAGGGGACUAUUGGGAAAAGAAAAGCCACUCCUCAAAGGUCAGAAGUUUGGUCUAACUUCACUAAGAUUAUUAAUAGUGAGGGUGCAAGUAAGGCUAAAUGUAAUUAUUGUCAAAAGGAAUUUUGUUGCGAUAUGAAAAAAAAUGGUACAGGGUCAUUGAAAUAUCAUAUUGGUUCAUGUAAGAAAAAUUCUAGCGAUGUUGUUGACACUAGUCAAGGACAAUUAGUUUUACCUAGAAAGAGAGUUGAAGGGGGGGCAUCUUUCAACUUGGAGAUUUGAUCAAGAAGCAUGUAGGAAAGGAUUAGCACAAAUGAUUGUGAUUGAUGAAUUACCUUUCAAGUUUGUUGAAAGUGAAGGCUUUAAGAAAUUUAUGUUUGUGGCAUGUCCUAGGUUUCAUAUUCCUUCACGAACUAUUAUGACUAGGGAUGUUUAUCAAUUGUAUUUAGAUGAAAAGGUCAAGAUAAAACAACUUUUGAAAAGUUCUUGUUCUAGAGUUUGCUUAAGCUGACACAUGGACUUCUUUGCAAAUAGUUAAUUAUUUGUGUAUCACUGCUCAUUUUAUUGAUAACGAUUGGAAAUUGAAUAAAAAGAUUUUAAACUUUUGUCCAAUUUCUAGUCAUAAGGGUGAGUCCAUUGGGAUGGUGUUUGAGAAAUACUUGUUGAAUUGGGGGAUUGAUAAGUUGUUUACUGUUACUAUUGAUAAUGCAAGUUCAAAUGAUGUUGCUAUUGGUUAUUUGAGAAAGAAAUUUAACCCUCGAGGGGGUUUAGUUCAAAAUGAUAAAUAUCUUCAUAUGAGAUGCAUGACACACAUUGUGAAUUUGAUUGUUGUUGAAGGCUUAAAGGAAAUGAAUAAAUCUGUUGAACGUGUUAGGGGGGCUGUUAGAUAUGUGAGACAAUCUCCAGCUAGAUUACAAAAAUUUAAGGAGAGUGUUGUGGUGGAAAAGAUAAAGUGCAAGAAUAUGUUGUGUCUUGAUGUUUGUACUAGGUGGAACUCGACCUACUUAAUGUUAGACACUGCACAGAACUUUGAGAGAGCUUUUGAGAGAUUUGAGGAGCAAGAUACAAACUUUAGGGCUGAACUUGAAAAGGGAGAGGGUUGGCCUAGUGUGGAUGAUUGGGAUAAUGUUAGAAACUUGAGGGAUUUCUUGGAACACUUUUAUGAAGUCACUUUGCAUAUAUCUGGCACUUCAUAUGUCACGUCCAAUAAUUUUUUUGAUGAGCUUUUUGAAAUUGAUAUUUUUUACGAGAUGCUCAGUUAAAUAGUAAUGUUGAUUUCAAUGUUAUGGUCAUCAAGAUGAAAGAGAAGUGUGAUAAGUAUUGGGGUGAUAUUGAUAGGAUGAAUUUGCUUAUGUUUGUUGCUUGUGUUUUAGAUCCUAGACAAAAACUGAAGUAUCUUGAAUUUGCACUUAGUGAAAUGUCUAGGUCUGAAAAAGCUUGUGAAAUGAUGUAAAAAUUGAAGGAAUCUUUGUAUGAAUUGUUUGAUGAGUAUAAGCCUCCACUUCAUAGUAUUGUAGUCAAUCGAGUGUGCCAACACAUGUUUCUCUCGGUGAACCACAACAAAAAAUGAAAAGGCGAAUGCAAGCUUUGUAUAAAAAGCGUGAGUUGGAAAUUUGUGGUGAGGAUAAAACAUCUGAGUUGGAUAAAUAUCUAGCUGAGGCUAAUGAGGAAUUUGUUGAAGAUUUUGAUAUUUUAUUGUGGUGGAAAGUGAACAGCCCUAGAUUUCCCACUCUUUCAAAAAUGGCCAAAUGUGUUAGCUAUACCGGUUUCUACGGUUGCUUCGGAGUCUGCAUUUAGCACCGGGGGACGUGUGCUUGAUCAAUAUAGGAGUUCUUUAACUCCUAAAAUUGUACAAGCUCUUGUGUGGACUCAAGAUUGGAUUCGAAAAUCAUUAUCACAAGAAGACAUAAAAAAGAUUGAAGAACAAAUCCAAGAGCUUGACAAGAUUGAAAAUGGUAUAUAUAUUGUUUUAUUUUAAUAGUUUCAAUUUUUUUACCAUAUCACUCCUACUUAUUUAAUUGAUUCAAUGUUUAGACUUUUCUUGGAAUGCACCAGAACCUACCCUAAAUUCAUGAGCUUUCGUGAGUUGAAGGGUAUGCUUACUUUCUUAUUCUUGUUAACUUCUAAUCUAUUCGUUUGUUUAUAUUAUUUGAUUUUUUUAAAUGCGUAUAUUUCUAUUAUAUGUUAAAUUUUUUUGUAGGUUUAAUGCAAAUGGAGAUAUUUUGGAGAGAAGAAACGAAUACAAAUGGAGAAUAUUAAAGACUUGCAUUUCAAUUAUGUGUUAAUUUUAAAACUUAUGUAAUGUUUUUAAUUAUGUAGUGAUUCAAAGACUUAUGUAAUAUUUUUUAUUAUGUAGUGAUUCAAAGACUUAUGUAAUGUUUUUAAUUAUGCAAUGAUUUAAUUCGGUUAAUUUGGUUAAUUAAGUUAAUUCGGUUAAUUCGGUUAA
rnacentral:lncRNA from 1 species